AUUUAAUGUAUAAAUAUAUUUACAAAUAUUAAAUUAAUAAUACUAAAUAUAUCUCAACAAAUAAAAAUCUAUCAUUCAAAGAAAUCUAAAAUUAAUAAUAAAAAUCCAUAAAAAUUUAAGGAUUUAGCUUCUUCUUCUUUUUGGAAUUUUUUCUUUGAUAAUCUUUAUUAUAUUUAAGUUUUUAUUAGAUUUUAAAUGUGAAAAAAUAUAUAUUUUUUAAAAAGGAAGGAAGGCUUGGGCCUUGGAAGGUUCUUCACAGUUUUUCUUUUCCUGUUGGAAAUCCCGUUUGGGCAUAUCCGCCCAAGUCCAUUAACAAAUCAGCCCAAUUCUGGGACAUUUGGAGGAGACCACCUGUCUCAACUAAAGCUUUUUAUCUUCUCUUUCACGACAAAACCAUCUCCCUUAAGAAAUAUUGCCUCCAUUUCAACGCCGUCACCGCUGUCGGAAUCUCGAUCGGUUACCGUCGAUUCGCUAUCCUUAACUGCCCGACCUCUGCGGAACCGCAACAGGACCUCCUGAACGUGAGGGAGACUACCGCUGCCCAAUAAAGAUGAGUUUUUUUUUCUCUGCCUUUUUUCGAUUUAACUGAACGGGUUGUGGAUGGUGAAGUUGAAGUGGCCGAAUGGUUGCUGGAGGCUUGUGGGAGAGGAUUUAAGUUUGGUUUAGGGGUUAGUUGAGAGUUGAUAGUGGUGAAGAUAGUGAUAUAUGGAGGUGGGAGCCUUGGUUGUUCGGGGAUGAAGUUGGGUUAGUGAGGUGCCAAGGGCGGUUUGGUGGGUUAAGGGUGUAGUCGGAUGGUUUUGAAUCUUGAGGGAAGCUGAAAAAGAAUGCUUUUCUUGCUCUGAAUUCAUAAAAAUGCAGCAAACCUCUUUUUGCUUGAUUUUCGGAUGCUGCUAUAUAGGAGCUAGGAGAGAAGGAGCAUGAGCUCCUCAUAGAGCUGCGGUGGCAUGGCUGUGCUGGCCUUGUGCGGAAUGGUGCCGAGGAAUGUACUUCACUUCUGUAGGCGGUUGUUGCCAUUUCCUUGUGCAGGUAAACAUUUUGGAGGAGACCACCUGUCUCAACAGUUGUGUGAAAUUUGGGAUGUAAUUGUAAACCUUGUAAAGUUUUGGGUUUUAUUGCAAAUUUUCAAUUCUUGAUUUUUUAUAUUUUUGUUAAAAAACAUUUAUAAUGAAAUACUUUAU
rnacentral:lncRNA from 1 species